rnacentral:tRNA from 1 species
GGUAGUAUAGCUCAGUGGUAGAGCGUUCGACUGAGGAUCGAGAGGUCCCCGGUGCGAAUCCGUGUGUUUCCU